AUCACCAUCAUUCCAUGCAAGAAGCUCUGCAACGACAUAGCAGACAGUGUCAUGGAUCUCAUGAAGUAGAUUCAAAGAGUCUCCAGGAGAGGCAUCUACAUUAUGCUGCAGAAGGAGGAGAAGGAGAGGGAGAUAAUUAUGUUUCUGAGGUCUCAGCCCUGGAUCAAAAGAUAAAUGAAAUAAAUCUUGACACUUAGAAAAUGCCAAAGCUGUUGGACUUUGGCAGUCUGUUUAUCCUGCAGGUCAGUCAGCACAUAGCUGGAAUGAGUUUUCAAACACCACUUGGAGCUAUU
rnacentral:lncRNA from 1 species